GGGAUGUGGAUGCUCCUUCUUCGC
rnacentral:siRNA from 1 species